AAACCUAAGUACUUAAUCAUUUUUUUCUUAAUCAUUUCUUGAUAAUAAAUUCUUUUCUCGAUGUUUGGAGCUGCCACUUUUGAUGAACUAAGAAGCGGGUUACAUCAUCUUGGAUCUAAGCUUACAUAAUCUGAAAUCAAACAACUCAUGGAAGCUGCUUGUGUGGACAAAAGUGGGACGACUGAUUACAUUGAGUAUAUAAUUGCAACAAUGCAUCGCCAUAAAUUGGAGAAAGAAGAGAAAUUGAUAGAAGCAUUUAAAUUCUCUAACAAAGACAGAAGCGGGUUUUGUAUUCUUAUAACCGUCUCCUUCUUCACCUAAAUGAACACAACUACUAUAUUAAAGAUCGAAUUGUCUUCAACACAUACUGUUCUUUUUUCAAAAAUCAGAUUUAUCACAA